CCAAUGAGGAACCACAUUCCCGUUUCUCGACCCCGGAAUUCUAGCAUGCACACCUGUUUGUAAUAACUUUCAUUAUAUAUACCACUCCGGUUGCGAUGCUGCUUCGCAAGAUCAACACAAACGUGGGUCUUAUAUGUCUACACGGUGAGUUUCCCUGCCACAAGCUUCACUGUUUGGACGGCGUGGAAGAAGUUGCUCCAGAAGAACCUAUGCAGCUUGUUUCGUCUAACCCCGGAGGAGAGACUACGCCGAAGACAUGAAGGUCUCUGCAUGUGCUGUGGUGCUGCAGGUCACAUUCUGCGUGAUUGUCGGGCUCGUCCGAAAAGACCUCAGUUUCCAUCCCCGGGAGAGCGUGUGGAGUAGUAGUAAAAGGGUAAGUGAUCCCACUCCGGGUAUGGUUUCAAAGUCUUUCCUUAUACCUGUUACUCUGUACUGCCAGGAAUUUUCAUUUGUGUUUCUAGCCUUGAUCGAUUCUGGAGCGGAAGGAAACUUCAUUCAUUCUAAACUGACCAAGCAACUCCAUGUGCCUAUGAUCUACUUGCACAUUCCGCUAAGACUGUCUGCUGUGGAUGGAGACCCAGUUGGGCAGGGUGUCGUCUCUUUCGCCACUGCACCCAUCAAAGUGAAAGUCAGUGCUUUGCAUUCUGAGAACUUAAAGUUUUUCGUGUUGGACUCCUCUGAAUAUGACAUAAUUUUAGGACUUCCUUGGUUGAAAACUCAUGAUCUGGUAAUAUCUUGGUCAGAACGGGAAAUACUAUCAUGGUCGAGUUAUUGUCAUCAGAACUGUUUAGCAUUGCCAUGUAUAGUAAAUUCUGUGUAUGUCGAACGUCCAGAGGUCUCUACUCCGGUCUCGGUGCCUUCCGAAUACUCUGAUUUGCGUUUUGACUAUAUGACUUCUUAAUAAUCAAAUACCGCCAAAAUCUUGCAUCUACCCACUUACUCAGUCGAAGAACGAUGUUAUGGAGAAAUAUAUACAAGAGGCUCUAGGUCAGGGGUUUAUAAGGCCCUCUACUUCACCCACAGCAGCAAGUUUUUUCUUUGUAAAGAAAAGAGGUGGUGACCUUAGACCAUGUAUAGACUAUAGAGGGUUGAAUCAGAUCACUAAACCAUACCCUUAUCCGCUACCCCUAGUUCCCAUAGCUUUAGAGCAACUUCGAGGCGCAAACAUUUUUACUAAAUUAGACUUGCACAGUGCUUAUAACUUGAUUCGCAUUCAAGAGGGUGACGAGUGGAAAACCGCCUUCCACACCACUAGGGGGCAUUAUGAAUAUUUGGUGAUGCCUUUUGGUUUGCGUAAUGCGCCGUCUGUUUUCCAAGCUUUUAUCAAUGACGUUUUACGUGACAUGUUGGGUCGUUUUGUAAUAGCGUAUAUAGACGAUAUUUUGAUUUACUCCUCAGAUAUGACCACCCACAUUCAACAUGUGAGACAGGUACUCAUGCGUCUCCUUGAGAAUAACCUCUAUGUUAAGAGAGAAAAGUGUGAGUUCCAUACGUACUCUACGUCAUUUUUAGGGUACAUCAUCAGUGCUGAGGGGGUGGUUAUGGAUGAUUGUAAGAUUGACGCAAUCAUAAACUGGCCAGUGCCGAAAAAAGAGAGUUACAACGUUUUCUGGGUUUUGCUAACUUUUACAGACGCUUUAUUAGGAAUUAUAGUUCCGUGGCAGUGCCCCUGACGUCUCUCCUUAAAGGAAAUGCCAAGAUGUUGGAAUUGACACCCCAAGCUAACUGCGUUUUUACACCUUAAGGAAAGGUUUACUUUGGCUCCCUUGUUAAAACAUCCAGCUCCCUCCAAACCUUUUAUUCUAGAGGUAGAUGUGUCUAAUGUGGGAGUAGGAGCUGUACUAUCCCAAUCCAGUGGCUCUCCGAGUAAGUUAUACCCAGUUGCUUACUUUUCUCACAAAUUAAGUCCAUCAGAGUAUAACUAUGGGAUUGGAGACAAGGAGUUACUAGCCAUAAAAUUAGCCUUAGAAGAAUGGCGGCAUUGGUUAGAGGGUGCUCAACAUCCUUUCCUUAUUCUUACAGAUGACCCGUGUUUGUAUUUCGGUACCGGCUUUUGUCUUUUCCCUUCUGUACUUUCACUGUUCAUUACCGCAUGGUUUGUGUUUAUUCUUAAAAUAAACGGUUUGAUCCCUUUUA